GGAGGUGCUCGGCGCCCGAGCGGUGGGACAGUGAGGGACUGAAGGUCGGAGGCCUCGCGUACUUUCGGGAAGUGCGAGGGGCGCGGCGUGGCUACGUCUUGCGAAAGGAACGGCGCGCGCGGACGGCGGGCCGGUGCUCUCAGUUGCCCGGCAUCCGCUGGCCGGGUCCCUGGGACCGCGUGCGGAUGACCGGGCCUGCAGCCGCUGCGCGCGGGCUGUUGAAAGUGACGGUUGGGAUGCUUCUGGGUGACCCAGCGCCAAGAGGAAGUGGUUCUUGGGACGAUGCCUCCACCUUCUCCUCUGAUCAGAUACAGCCCUCCUCUCUUCGCUGUCAGGUGGGAGGACCGGUGAACUCGGGGUUAGGGUUUCCGGCUCUGGAGUGACAUCUGUACUCGAGUCCUGGCACCCUCUCCUGGCCUUCUGACCUGCUCGAGCAAGUUCCGUGAGCCCUCUGAGCCUCAGUUAUCUAGGCACAGGACGCAGGGUGGAGAAUGUGACUCCUGGCAUUGAGGCAGCCAUCUUGCAACUAUGAAGUGACAAGCAUGAGGACAAAAAAGCAUGCCAAGGAAGGCAGCAUGGAAAAGAUAGCACCCAGUUUCUCGAUGAAAUUUUGGAGCCUCUGCACCCAGUCUGGAGCCCCUCUGUGCAGACUUAGAGCUCUAAGCAUAGUGUUAGGCUUUAGCUGCUGCUCAGUGUGCUGGCUGAUGCAGGAGAGCUGAGCAACCUGGCGUCAAAGCUUGCUGAGCACAGAUGACAGAGAAACAAAUGGCGUCAUGUCAGAUUUCUGAAAAGCAUGUCAGGUUAACAAAAAGAAAUUUAAAUAUGGUGGCUGUUUCUCAUACGAUAUAAAUCCACAAUGGUUUAAAUAACACAAAAAUAAAGGAAGCAAUUUUGUGCA